AAGCGAAUAGUGAAAUGUGGCGGCUCAACCGUACACACUAUUAUUCGAACUGCAUAACUCGAGAAUGGUAGAGGUAACUGGAAUUUCUUGUGUAGGAGUGAAAUCCGUAGAUAUAAGAAGGAACACCAAUGGCGUAGGCAGGUUACUGGACCAUUUCUGACACUAAGGCACGAAAGCGUGGGGAGCGAACCGGAUUAGAUACCCGGGUAGUCCACGCCGUAAACUAUGGAUACUA
rnacentral:rRNA from 1 species